CCUACGGGAGGCAGCAGUGGGGAAUAUUGCACAAUGGGGGAAACCCUGAUGCAGCGACGCCGCGUGAGGGAAGAAGGAUUUCGGUAUGUAAAGCUGUAUCAGCAGGGAAGAAAAUGACGGUACCUGAUUAAGAAGCCCCGGCUACCUACGUGCCAGCAGCCGCGGUAAUACGUAGGGGGCAAGCGUUAUCCGGAUUUCCUGGGGGUAAAGGGGGCGUAGACGGCAGAACAAGUCUGGAGUGAAAUGCCCGGGCUUAACCCCGGCACUGCGUUGGCAACUGUGCAGCUAGAGUUCAGGAGAGGUAAGUGGAAUUCCUAGUGUAGCGGUGAAAUGCGUAGAUAUGAGGAGGAACACCAGUGGCGAAGGCGGCUUACGGGACCGUAACUGACGUUGAGGCUCGAAAGCGUGGGGAGCAAACAGGAUUAGAUACCCGUGUAGUC
rnacentral:rRNA from 1 species